ACGCCAUGAUGUGGGAUUUUUUGUAACAACUCCUUAAACUGCUCCUAUGCCUUAUAUAAAGAUUCUUCAUCAAGUUGUUGAAAUGAAGUAAUCUCAAUGCAAAGCUU